UACGUAGGGUCCAAGCGUUAAUCGGAAUUACUGGGCGUAAAGCGUGCGCAGGCGGUUGUGUAAGCCAGAUGUGAAAUCCCCGGGCUUAACCUGGGAAUGGCAUUUGGGACUGCACGGCUAGAGUACGGCAGAGGAGACUAGAAUUCCUGGUGUAGCAGUGAAAUGCGUAGAUAUCAGGAGGAAUACCGAUGGCGAAGGCAAUCCCCUGGGCCUGCACUGACGCUCAUGCACGAAAGCGUGGGGAGCAAACAGG
rnacentral:rRNA from 1 species